rnacentral:rRNA from 1 species
GACGAACGCUGGCGGCGUGCUUAACACAUGCAAGUCGAACGGAAAGGCCCUGCUUUUGUGGGGUGCUCGAGUGGCGAACGGGUGAGUAACACGUGAGUAACCUGCCCUUGACUUUGGGAUAACUUCAGGAAACUGGGGCUAAUACCGGAUAGGAGCUCCUGCUGCAUGGUGGGGGUUGGAAAGUUUCGGCGGUUGGGGAUGGACUCGCGGCUUAUCAGCUUGUUGGUGGGGUAGUGGCUUACCAAGGCUUUGACGGGUAGCCGGCCUGAGAGGGUGACCGGCCAAAUUGGGACUGAGAUACGGCCCCGACUCCUACGGGAGGCAGGAGUGGGGAAUAUUGCACAAUGGGCGGAAGCCUGAUGCAGCAACGCCGCGUGCGGGAUGAAGGCCUUCGGGGUGUAAACCGCUUUCGCCUGUGACGAAGCGUGAGUGACGGUAAUGGGUAAAGAAGCACCGGCUAACUACGUG